ensembl:snRNA U6 U6 spliceosomal RNA
GUGCUGGCUUCGGCAGCACAUAUACUAAAAUUGGAACAAUACGGAGAAGACUAGCGUGGCCCCUGCACAAGGAUGACACACACAUGCACGAAGCGUUCCAUAUUGAA